rnacentral:antisense_RNA from 1 species
CGGAUGCCUUUCCCGUUGGGCACCCAGCUGUGGCAGUGCCCCGUCCUCGCCCAGCUCCCGGCAUAGGCAUGCGCUCUGGGCCGGGGCCGGGCCCCCCGCCUCUCCAGGAGGAAUCGCUGGGUUGACUCUGGGUCAGCAAAGGGAGCCCGGCCCCUUCUAGCGGGGGGACGUCCUGCAGCCGCUGGAGGAGGCUGAGUCACGCUCUUCCCACCAGAAGUCUACCUGUGCCUGCGCCCGCCGGGCCUGCAGGCCGCUUCCUUCUCAUCCAGGGGGCCUCUUCUCCAGCCUCACGGAGGUGGGAAGCUUGCUGGAGGCCCCCACCUGCCUUUUGGGGAAGACCCCAAGGCUGGCCCACGCCCUGCUGGCAGGACCCUUCCUGACUGGGUCCACCGUUCCUCUGGGUCUCACCACUUCUCCAAGCCCCUGGGCUGCUUCCUCUCUCCCGUGUCUGGGACCCCAGAGGCACCACUUCCAUUCCAUACAAGCUUGCAGAGUCAAGACGAACUCUAACUCAUGGGAUGGACAAACUGGAAGAUGUAAAAUAAGUAAGGCUUUCUGGGCCAAAAAGCCUCUUCUUACAGAAAAUCAAAUUUUAAAAGAACAUUGACCUCAAAACAAUAAAACUGUCCUGGUUAUGCAAUAGAAAUAGCUAUAUAAAUGGAAUCAUAUCCUUAAUGAAUACCUCCUGUGGCUACCCAACAUCUUAUUGAUUAUAGGCCUUGCUGUGAAUGCUUUCUUGCUCUAUCUGAAGUAUUCCCACCAGAGUUGUUUCCAACUUUAUUUCCUAUAUUAUGAAAAAUGAAGUUUUUUCCAACAUUGUAACAAAGUAUAUGAAAGAUAAUGUACACUAUAUUAAAUAAACCAUUAUACAAAAAUA